ensembl:lncRNA
CUACCCCUGGAAUUGUCCCAUCCCAGGGAUCAGCCCAUCCUUGGAAUUCUCCCAUUCUUGAAAUUGUUCACUCCUUGGAAUUGUCCAAUCCCUGGAAUUCUGUCCCUAGAAUUGGCCCAUCCCUGGAAUUCUCCUAUGUCUGGAAUUCUGUCCCUGGAAUUGUCCAAACCCUGGAAUUUUAUCACAGGAAUUGUCCCAUCCAUGGAAUUCUCCCAUGCUUGAAAUUGUUCACUCCUUGGAAUUGUUCAAUCCCUGGGAUUCUGUCCCUGGAAUUGUCCCAUCCAUGGAAUUGUCCAUUCCUUGGAAUUCUCCUAUCCCUGAAAUUCCACCCUUGCCAUUGUCCCAUCCAUGGAAUUCUCCUUUCUCUGGAAUUGCCCCCAAAUCCCUGGAAGUUUCCAAGGCCGGCUUGGAUCCGCCUGGAAUAUUUGGAUUGGCUGGAAUUUCAGGCUGGGAUUCAGGGACGGCAUUGAAGGAUCCCAAACCACUCCACAAUUCCAUCAAUUCUUCCCAAAUCCAACCCGAGACCCCAAAAUCCCUGGAAUUCCCAACACUGACCGAUCCCAUUCCCGUUUUUUUUUUCCCCCAGAGCAAAAGCACCUUGAACCCGGACGCCAAGGAAUUCGUUCCCGGAGUGAAAUACUGACCUGGGAAAUUCGGGAAUGGCCUGGCCAGAGACUGAAUCCCUGCUCCAGGGAAAAGUUGGGACAUGGGAAGGGCCCGGAGCGGCUCCAGCACCGGGAUCUGCUCCGGUUCCAAGUAUUUCUGCUUUUCCCCAAUUUUUUUUUUUGGUUUUUUUUCUGGUUUUUCCUCACUUUUUCUUGGCAGUUUUUGGCUUCCUUGGGAUUUGCGGUGACCCCGCCGGCGGGAAAAUCUUGGGGAAAAUCAUGGGAAAAAAUCUUGGGAAAAUCAUGGGAAAAUCAUGGUAAGAUCAUGGAAAAAAUCACAGGGAAAUAAUGGGAAAAUCAUGGGAAAAAUCAUGGAAAAUCACAGGAAAAUCAUGGAAAAAUCUUGGGCAAAAUAAUGGAAAAAUAGUGAGAAAAGCAUGGGAAAAUCAUGGGAAAAUGACAGGAAAAUAAUGGAAAAAUAAUGGAAAAAAAAAGGAAAAUCAUGGAAAAAUCCUUGGGAAAAUAAUGGUAAGAUAAUGGAAAAAUCACAGGAAAAUAAUGGGAAAAUCUUGGGAAAAAUCAUGGGAAAAUGACAGGAAAAUAAUGGAAAAAUCACAGGAAAAAACAUGGAAAAUCACGGGAAAAUAAUUGAAAAAUCUUGGGAAAAAUAAUGGAAAAAUAAUGAGAAAAGCACGGAAAAAUCAUGGGAAAAUGACAGGAAAAUAAUGGAAAAAUCAUGAAAAAAAAUGGGAAAAUCACAGGAAAAUCUUGGGAAAAACAAUGGAAAAAUAAUGAGAAAAUAAUGGGAAAUCAAUAAUGGGGAAAUAAUGGAAAAAUCAUGGAAAAAUCACAGCAAAAUAAUGGAGCAAAAUAAUGGAAAAAUCUUGGGAAAAAUAAUGGGAAAAAAAUACGAGAAAAGCAUGGAAAAAACAUGGAAAAAUCAUGGGAAAUCAAUAAUGGGAAAAUCAUGGAAAAAUCAUGGAAAACCAAUAAUGGGAAAAUCAGAUUUUCCUGCUUCCAGAGGAUUUUUAGGAUUGGGAGCUGCACUGGAUUUUCCCUGAUUUUUCCGGAGCGGAAUUUUCCCUGAUUUUUCCAGAAUGGGAUUUUCCCUGAGUUUUUCCAGAGUGGAAUUUUCCCUGAUUUUUCUGGAAUGGGAUUUUCCCUGAUUUUUUCCAGAGCGGAAUUUCCCCUGAUUUUUCUGGAAUGGGAUUUUCCCUGAUUUUUCCAGAAUGGAAUUUUCCCUGAUUUUUCCUGAAUGGGAUUUUCCCUGAUUUUUUCCAGAAUAGGAUUUUCCCUGAUUUUUCCGGAAUGGAAUUUUUCCAGAAUGUGAUUUUCCCUGAUUUUUCUGG